rnacentral:rRNA from 1 species
AGGACGAACGCUGGCGGCGUGCUUAACACAUGCAAGUCAAGCGGAAAGGCCCUUCGGGGUACUCGAGCGGCGAACGGGUGAGUAACACGUGAGUAAUCUGCCCCUAGCUCUGGGAUAGCUCCGGGAAACCGGGAUUAAUACCGGAUACGACCACCUUAGACAUCUUUUGUGGUGGAAAGAAUUUCGGCUAGGGAUGAGCUCGCGGCCUAUCAGCUUGUUGGUGGGGUAACGCCUACCAAGGCGACGACGGGUA